AUGGUUCGCACGCGGUCGUCGCGAUUUUCCUUUCUUGAGAGUUAAUUCGGUAACGCGUAUUACUUUCGGUGUUCUUUGUGAUUAUUUUUUCUUAUUGUGUCUCGCUAAUGAUUUAUCGCUUAUAAGAUGUUCGCGAAAUGCAAAUAUUAUGUAUUUGCUUGUGCCGACGGAUGCCGUUUACGAUGGAAGUUUUACAAUACUGACCAGUAAAGUUAUGUUGCCGUUUUUGUUCUGCGAUGUCCGUUUUCUUGCGUGGGUCGUCGUCGUUAGGGCAUUUCCAUUCCGAGGCGGGUUAUGGGUUCUAUGAGCGUGAUUGCUUUUCCUUCAGGUAGGGUGCUAGCCUCGUCUGGAGACCCUCCUCCUUUUUCACCCGGGCUUGGGACCGUCGUUGGCGGAGAGUUUGCUAGGUGAAUCAAAUAAAUAUCGCCUCCAUAUUGAUUUAUACAUUAUGAGGAAGACCCAUCGUGCUGGUGUAAGUACCUAACUUUGAACAAUUAUUUAACUAUUUACUUAACUAUUAUAUUAAAUUAUUUUAAAUUAUUAACUGAUAGAGAAUUUCCCAAUCUUUCAUAUGUUUUGAUCCGUUGAUCGCUUGCAAUUUUAGUUUAAAAGAGGACACGUAUUCAGGGCACCGUACAAGGGCAGCAAUAAAAGUGACUCGUGUUCAGGUCACCGUAUGAGGUUAGCGGUAGAAGUGGCUCGUAUUCAAGCCACCGUACCAGGGCAGCGGUAGAAGUGACUCGUGUUCAGGGCACCGUACAAGGACAGCGGUAGAAGUGACUCGUGUUCAGGGCACCGUACGAGGGUAGCGGUAGAAGUGACUCGUGUUCAGGGCACCGUACAAGGACAGCGGUAGAAGUGACUCGUAUUCAGGGCACCGUACAAAGGCAGCGGUAGAAGUGACUCGUGUUCAGGGCCCAGUACAAGGGUAGCGGUAGAAGUGACUCAUAUUCAGAUACUCAUGUCGCGAAUUUUCCAAUCUUCCAUAAUCUACAAUUUUCUGCGAUUACAUCCUACUUAUCUCUUUUAGUUUACGAGAUAUUCGCAAUUGAAAUAAAUCGUCAAAAAAACUUGUUUUUUUAGCACUUUCAGUAGCGUUUUUAAACCUUUUAUCCCAUUAACUUAAAUUAUUUUAAAUUUCCAUUUGAUAGAUAAUUUUUCAAUAUUCCAUAAUCUAUAAUUUUUAGUUGCUAUCUCUUUUAGUAUAGAAGAUAUUCUCUAUUGAAAAUCGACAAUUAAAAUUAUCAAGGACCCCCUUCUUCCUUCUUCCCUCUUGCCCCCUUGGCCCGCUAGAGUAAAAUAGAAUUGUAAUAAAUAAAAAGUGGGCGUCUGUUUUAAAGUACGAGUAUUACGGUGCGAAUGACUAGCAGCUUUCACUAUUUCACUAUUUGUUUGUGUUGUUUCAUUAACAUGGAAAACCAAAAAAAUGAGAAACAUGUUUAGCUAAAUAACUAUUGUAGCGGUUAUGUAGCCAGCUCCACAUUAUACUAACAGUUUCGUAUGCUUUUAUUAUUUGAGAAUAAAUUAAUUAAGUUUAGACAUUUGAUUCCAAAGACAUUUGUCAUGUAUCGCUACGAAGAAUUAACGCGUCUUCUAAAGAGUGACAUUUAUUGAUUUUGUUAAUGUUUUUGUAUUUUGUAGGACGAACUUGGAUACAGCUUCAAAAUUUAGGUAACGAUUUGUAUUUUAUUGAAUAUUUAUAUGUUAGAUGCGUUUGCUAAUAUUGAUUGUAUUCUCUACGUGACUGCGUCAAUCGCGUUUACCUUUUUUAUGUCCUCUGUCGUUGCCCCGAACGUAUCGUAAUACUGAUAGUGACCACGUGUUGUCGCCGUGAGCUGUGCACACGCAGUUCCAUUCCGGUUGCCGCGAGUGUCGCGCGUGUUCAUCACUUGAUUCUCGAACAAUCUCGUUAAUAAGAAAAUUGAUCGAUUUUCAAUACACAAUCGGCAGUACAUAUCGGGGACGUGGUUUUACUAUGUAAUUGUACGCGUCGAAUGUUCAUCAAUCGCGAAUUAAUCGUCAGUUUACCUGUGCGCGUGUGAUGUUCCAUCGGUCGUCGCUGAAUAUAAGCCGUGUUGGUCUACAUGUACACAGCGUGCAUGUUCGUCGGCACCCAGUUGUUGGUGCCCAGGGAAGAAGUUUGUGAGUGGCCGAACCAUGAAGUUAGCAAUAUCCAUAACGGAUGUGUUGGAGAAGCACGUAUUUUAAGGCAAGUUUUUAUUGCGGCAGAAUUUUCUAGCUCUUGAUAUUUUUAUAUAAAAAAAAUGUAUCUAUUGUUAAAUAUUGCCAAUAAAACACAAAGUAAUAGUACAA